GACGAACGCUGGCGGCGUGCUUAACACAUGCAAGUCGAACGGUGAAGCGCCUUCCUUUUUGGUGGGUGUGGAUGAGUGGCGGACGGGUGAAUAACACGAUAGUAACCUGCCCCCUUCUUCUGGAUAACCGCAUGCAAGCGUGGCUAAUACGGGAUAUUCUGGGUCUGUCGGAUGAUGGGUCCGGGACGGAUAUUGUUUCGGUGGGGGAUGGGUUCGCGGCCUAGCAGCUUGUUGGUGGGGUGAUGGCCUACCAAGGCGACGAGGGGUAGCCGGCCUGGGAGGGUGGACGGUCAGAGAGGGAGUGAGGCACGGCGCGGACUGCUAGAGGAAGCAGCAGUGGAGAGUAUGGAACAGUGGGGGAAAGCCUGAUGCAGCGGCGCGGCGGGAGGGAUGGCGGCCGUCGGGUUAUGAACCUCUUUGGGCAGUAAAGCAGGCCUGCCUCGUUUGUGGGUGGGUUGACGGUAGCUGGUGAAGAAGCGCCGGCUAACUACGUG
rnacentral:rRNA from 1 species